UUUGACUUCAACUUGCAUCUACCCCACAAUCUUGACAGAAUCCAUGUCUGGGGCCCCGUGAGUACCGGCAACUGACCCUCUAAAAAUUAGGAAGCAACUGCAACAUUGGUCCAGAGCUGCGACGAUGUAUCCAAGCAACUGGAGUAAUAGUGGGAUAGAGUUAUCAUCAAAAUAACGCUGCCCACAAGAAAGGAUGGGAUGUUUGUCUACUGGCAAAAGGUACACUGGGGAAAAAUACAAACACUCUACUCACCGUUUAAACCCUUCUAUACUACCGCUGGUCAGACAAGCUUCUAAUUUUUUUACGGAUUCUGUUGUAAAUUGUUAGAAUUCUUGUUUUUUCUUCGUUGUUCGUCAGUUUAACCCCGCCAAAACCCAAAAAAAAGUGUUUGAAACACUAUUCUAAAGGUGUUCGCCCCUCACCAUUCCGGUAAGAAAUCAGGCAAGUAUCCGCUCAAAAGUUUGGCGGGGAAGAAGGAAAAGAGCCUAAAGUCGGACGAACAAAUGCGGGGUGGUGUAGAGGAACGCAGUCUAGAACAAUGGAGGAACACAUGCGCAGUGCAAAAAUGUCUACCGCAAGAGCAAGAAAAUUUUCGCACCAAUUAUUAGUUAAAUGAGGAGCAUCACAUGAAAAAGUGGGACAUAUCCAAUCACCUCUCAGUAUUUUGUUCACUUUGCUCCCCUCGUUUUCCCAUAGUGUGGAGAACAUUCAUGAAAACCAAACCUUCCGCCAAUCAAAUUACGGUUUGAAAAAUUCUACGUUUCUAUUCGCCGUCAUUCGGAACAAGCGAGCUUCCACCUUUUACGUUGACAUCAUUGAAAAAUGGAGAUAAUGGGGUUAAGGAAAGUGUGGGGCUAACCUUCCAAGUUACCUUUCCCUCCAUGACGUGGAGUACAUUUAGGCUCGUAAACUAACGUGCGUACGUUGGACUAGCUAUGCUGCACGCUAUUUGUCAAAAAAGGAUUUGCAGCAUGCGAGCGAAAGUCAACGAAGACGUGUAUGCGAGGAAACCGGUGUGGAACAGUGUUCUAGGACUAUACCUGAACAAAAUUGUGGGGCAAGUUUAUUUUCGCUUUUGCUAAUGCCCUUUUUUUUUGGCAAUUGCCUUGAGUAAUGGACAUUCAGUGUACUUUGUUUUAUUUACAAGCUUAGGAAAAGCGAGCUGGUUAGGAGCACUAGUAAACACAAAGCACACUUUUAAUUAAGCAAUGUUAUAAGUA